GCUGGGGGUGUACCCCAAAACUGCCUGGGCUGGGGGUGCCACCCCAAAUCUCUCCCUGGGCUGGGGGUGCCAUCCCAAAAUUCUGCUUGGGCUGGGGGUGCCACCCCAAAUCUCUCCCUGGGCUGGGGGUGCCACCCCAAAUCUCUGUCUGUGCCUGCCCAGUGCUCGGGUGAGUGGCCCCGGCAGGGACUGGGAUCUUCCCCGUCCAUCCCAGCUGGAUUUUCCCUCCCCAUCCCGGCUCCAAGCGAUGCUGCUGAGCCUUCCUGCUCCAGCCGGGCAGGGAGCAGCUCUGGGAGGGCGUUUUCCCUGCCCAAUCCCGCAUUUCCUCAUCCCCCCCCUCUGCUGCCAGGAACCCGGGAAUGGCAGCAGGAGCCGGGAUCCAGCUUGGGAUCCUCCUGGAGCGAUGAUUGCUGGGAUCAGGGUGGGAACAAACCUGGGGCUCCCUCUCCCUGCGCUUUCCCAGCUUUACCCUCUCUGCUCUUGGAAGUUUUCUGUUCUUUUCCCUCCAAAAGGAGGCACAGCCUUGAGGAAAAGGCUCGGGAAAAGCUCGGGAAGGAAGGGCGUUGUCGCAGGCGUUGUUGGAGGAGCGGAUGUUUAACUCCAGGAAUGAAAACAAAACCCCUUGGAGGCGAUCCCGGAGCCUCGAGAGUCCGGAAUCAUCGGGAAUUGGGGCUGGGAAAACGGGAAUGGCAAUGGGGGGAACGCCAGGAGGGAGAAGGAGCCAAAAGCAGAGCUCAGGGCACGGUGGAAGGGUCCUGGCAGGGAAAUAAAAAGCGCAGCUUUAUCCCUCCGAGCUGCCAGAGGCUUGGGAAGCUCCGGCUGGGAAAGGAGCAGGGUGGGAGACAGCAGAGCCCGGCCGGGGAUCGGGAGGGAUCGGAGGAACGGGACAAUGCCGAGCCUUUGGCACAGGGCAAUCACUGCAGGAUCCCCUCGUCUCCCGCUGAUGCUCCCAGGCCGGGCCCGGGCAGCAGCUCCGGCUCCUGUUUUGGCUCCGGAGGUUUUGGCUCCAGGGAUUUUGAUUCCCGAAGUUUUGGCUCCAGGGAUUUUGAUUCUGGAGGUUUUGGCCCCCGGGAUUUUGACUCCAGGGAUUUUGGCUCCCUGAGAUUUUGGCUCCAGGGAUUUUGGCCCCCGAGGUUUUGA
rnacentral:lncRNA from 1 species